AAGAAUAGAUCAAGAUAUUCAAUUUCAGUACCCAGAUUGGCUCUGAUCCUACUGCAGGCCAUAUAUAUAUAUAUUUUAGGCUGUGCAAAAAUACAUCAUAACCCGAUCCGCCCGAUUAAUCCGACCCAGCCCGUCCGUUAAAUUCGGAUUUAACUAAACAACGGGUUCGACCCGCUAUUUAUCAGGCGAAAGUGCAACCCGUCUGCUUUUCAUCUUCAUUUCAAACCCCAACCCCAUUCUUCUGCGCAACGCUUCAUCUCUUCUCCAGCCCACCAAGCAGUCCCGCUCCAUCCAUGUUGUUUCCUUCGCCGGCUCGCAGUCAAUACCCACUCCAGAAAGUUGGCUCACAGUCACAAGCUUUCUUGGAGGAGGACGAUGAAACCUUGCUUUUUUGAAGAAUCAGUUCUUUAUGUAAGGUAUUUUUACGACUAGGCUUUGGUCAAAUAUGGAAAUGGGAUGAAUGGGUUUGACCGUUUGAUCCUCUGCAGUUUAAUAAAUUACUCUUUAUAUUGUUUUUUAAAUGCAAUUGAAGGUGGUAACUUGUGCUU